AGCGCGGGGCAACCUGUCGGCGAGCGGCUAUUUGCUGAGUAAUGCAUAAGAACAUGUUCAUGUCGUGGGGGAUAGCCCGGCGAAAGCCGUGCUAAUACCGCAUAUGCUCUACGGAGGAAAGCAGGGGACCUGAGAGGGCCUUGUGCUAUGGGAGCGGCCGAUGUCCGAUUAGCUAGUUGGUGGGGUAAUGGCCUACCAAGGCGACGAUCGGUAGCUGGUCUGAGAGGAUGAUCAGCCACACUGGGACUGAGACACGGCCCAGACUCCUACGGGAGGCAGCAGUG
rnacentral:misc_RNA from 1 species